rnacentral:rRNA from 1 species
CACGUAGGCACCAAGCGUUAUCCGGAUUUAUUGGGCGUAAAGAGCUCGUAGGCGGUUUGGUAAGUCGGGUGUGAAAACUCUGGGCUCAACCCAGAGAGGCCACUCGAUACUGCUAUGACUAGAGUACGGUAGGGGAGCGGGGAAUUCCUGGUGUAGCGGUGAAAUGCGCAGAUAUCAGGAGGAACACCAGCGGCGAAGGCGGUUCUCUGGGCAUUACCUGACGCUGAGGAGCGAAAGUGUGGGGAGCGAACAGG